GAUGAACGCUAGCGGCAGGCCUAAUACAUGCAAGUCGAACGGUAAGGCCCUUUCGGGGUACACGAGUGGCGGACGGGUGCGUAACGCGUAUGCAACAUGCCUUCCAGCGGGGGAUAUACCAGGGAAACUUGGCGCAAUACCCCAUAGAAUUACGGGACCGCAUGGUCUUGUGAUUAAAAACUCCGGUGCUGGGAGAUUGGCAUGCGUGACAUUAGCUAGUUGGCGGGGUAACGGCCCACCAAGGCGACGAUGUCUAGCUGGUCUGAGAGGAUGAUCAGCCACACUGGGACUGAGACACGGCCCAGACUCCUAC
rnacentral:rRNA from 1 species